GUUUAGUCUGUGAAGGAGCAUCCAAAGCCAGGGUGAGCUUCUUUUCGACAUGACAUCAGAUUAUAGUGUGAAGGAUAAGUUCGUUUCUUUCCACACGGCAAAUUUCAGGCAAUUAUUAUUUCUGUGGAACAACAGGAGUUAUUUCUCCAUCAGUGCUAUGCUGAAAAUAUUCUUGCUCCCAUGUUUAUGGUGUCAUCAUUCUAUAAGGGAGAGCCGUCAGAUACUGUCAAUGUGAGCUGCUGUAGCAUCUUUUUUCGGCUGUCAAAGGCUGAAGCUGAAGAGCAAAGAAAAGCCCAAGUUAGGAUGAACAGUUGCAUAUUCAUAGAGCAUCCAGAGCAUGUUUGGGAUUGAAAUUUGCAGAUGAUAAUUUUGAAGCACUAAUUUUAUUUUGGCUUCAGAGCUAGGGGCUCACCUGGUUGCUCGAUCCCCUGUGGCAGGAUCCCUUUUACUGGAGACAAUAAGAAAAGAUGAAUGCAGCGCAUUAGCCAUAUGCCACACCAGACACAUGUUUUAUGAGCACUUUUUUUUUUAAUCCCAGAAGGAUUUGCUGAGUUUCCAUAGGCUGCCUUAAUCAAAACACUGCUUUUCUCUGGAAGAGUUCAAGAAGAUAGCUCUCCGGGUGGUGUGCUAUCCAGCUUCCUACCAGGUACACAUUUUACACUAAUCCUUGGAGCAGUUUGCAUUUAUUUCCUUCAUCUGAACUAUAGCUGCUUCCAUGGACAGAUGGAGUGCACUUCAUGAGCCCCUCCUUUGUAGCACAGGAACCAUGAUAUAAAAUAUGAUGUGGCUUAUAUGAAAAACAGGCUCUUAUCCAGAUGUGUCUCCCGGGUAUUGAGCAGUGGCACGGCAGAAAAAUAAGUGGGAAAGGGCACUUUACUGUAAAAAAUUCUGUCUGUGGUAUUUUGCUGCUUGCACUGGGAAGAAGAAAAACCCCAUGAUUCCUGCCCUUAGCAUUGUCCCGAAAUCAGGGCUCAUAUUUUGUUUGUUUCACUCUAACAAAAACAUGAUCACUAAGCCAAGAACAGACCUUUGGCAGCAGUCUGUGUGCAUUGGGAGCAAAACAAGCUACAGUGUCUAGUGUGAGGUGUAACACUAAGCCGAGGAUUGCUACNUGUGUGUUUGUGCAUUGUGCAGGGAGAAUAAAAGCAGGAAUAACUUACA
rnacentral:lncRNA from 1 species